rnacentral:misc_RNA from 1 species
GUUCCUCCUCCCCUUUUUUAACUCAAAUUGCACUCUCUGGUAUUCCGGAGAGUAUGCCUGUUUGAGGAUCAUUUUAAAUACAAAACGGUGUGUUUGCUGCCUUUCGUUGUUACGCACCUGAUGUGGGUCGUCUUGCCUUCGUUUAAGUGACCUAAAAUUUUGCAUGAUUUUUUUCGAACGUAUUUAAAUGAUUUUACGUACUUUUGCGAUAUCGCAUACUAUGUGUGUUCAUCCUCAUGAUUCUCGCCUAUAAUUUCGCAUCAAAAUAACCUCAAAUCAGGUAACC